rnacentral:lncRNA from 1 species
AAACACAAAACAGCUGGAGACAUAAUGUGAACAAAGUUCACCUUUUCUUGUUUACAUUUGAAAGCUGCUGCUCUGUUUAUGGGAUGAUGCAUUUGUUUAAAUGAAUGUCCAGCUAUUAUUGAUUUUUCCUCUCCUUUUUUUUUUUUUUUUUUAAUGGUUGUGUCACUAGUGUCGUGCAGCAGAGAUCUCUCGCUUUAGCACACCUGCACACAUAUUGACUGUGGAAAUUAGGCCGGGCUCUCCCUUCAGUUGCCGUGGUGAAACUCAGGCAUGGAUUUUACCAGACAGACCCCAUGGAGUCUGUCCUUCCUCUUGGCAUCCCCAUGGCUCUCUUAGUAGGCAUGCUCCCACAGCACACCAAAGGUCACCUUGAACCACUGAAAUUCCUUCUGAUGUUUUGAAGCAAAAGGAGGACUCUCAGGCUGUACGUUUUAACAGAUGAAGUCAGUGACAAAAGUUGGAGUGAUAUUAGUGUCACUGUCAGCCAACAAGGAUUGAAGAAACAGAUGGUAAGAUUUUCGAGGAAGCUUAAAACAGAAGCCAAGCUAAUACAGAACUGUUCAGCUAUCAGACAGGAGGCGGUUACAGAAGUUGAUCUGCUUCACAUUAUCUACAAUUACCUUGCUGCUGGAUAGGAUGACAUAAUAAUGUAAGCAUCGGGUCAGAAGAACUGUACUUCC